UAGCUCAGUCGGUUAGAGCCUGGUGCUGAUAACACCAAGGUGGUGGGUUCGAUCCCCGU
rnacentral:tRNA from 1 species